UACGGAGGGGGCUAGCGUUGUUCGGAAUUACUGGGCGUAAAGCGCACGUAGGCGGCUUUGUAAGUUAGAGGUGAAAGCCCAGGGCUUAACCCUGGAAUUGCCUUUAAGACUGCAUCGCUAGAAUCGUGGAGAGGUGAGUGGAAUUCCGAGUGUAGAGGUGAAAUUCGUAGAUAUUCGGAAGAACACCAGUGGCGAAGGCGACUCACUGGACACGUAUUGACGCUGAGGUGGCGAAAGCGGUGGGGAGCAAACAGG
rnacentral:rRNA from 1 species